GUCCACGCACGCACGCACGCGCACACACACUGUUACUUCAGGCUGGUUGGAUGCUGCUCAGGCACCAUGGAUCCAAUUUCUGCCAAGGAUGAAGGCAGCACCUCCAGGGGACAAGAGUCCUACCAGCGGAGAAUGUGGAAGACUUUCCAGGAGAAAACCAAGCCGUGGCUCAGUCCCAAACUGGGCUCGGAGCGUCGCGGUAGCGGAGGAGCGGAGGGCACGAAGAAGGAAUCCGGAUUGUGGAUGUUUAAGAGGAAAAAGAAACACUUGGAUCGAGUGUUCUCAUCCUCCCAGCCCAAUCUACGCUGCUCCUCUCCUGUGUCUUUUGGGACCGGGGACAAGUGUGGAGGAGGACGCGGCGACGCUGUGGCGGGGACCAGCAGCGGUGCGGAGGGGCAGCAUUUCGGCUCGGCAUCUGGGACCACGGGGAGCAAGCCUGAGCUGACGGGCCACGGAAGCCCCAAGCUCCACGUCUCGCAGCUGAUCGCUUCCCAGCACAAGAGCUCCUCGUUGGGCUCGGCGUGUUUCGAAAAGCUGGUGGUGGAUCCGGUCGUGGCUGUGGAGGAAGAAGAGCAGCCUGGGAAUAAGCCAAGUGAUAGCGGAAUCGAUACCGUGGACCCUUGUAAUGGAGAACCUCCGGCUCCUAGUCCGACAAUGUACCAGCUGGAUAUUGUCCUAAAGAAAGGCAACAACCUGGCCAUCAGAGAUCGCACAGGGACCAGUGAUCCAUACGUCAAGUUCAAGAUUGCAGGGAAGGAGGUGUUCAGAAGCAAGACCAUCCAUAAGAACCUUAAUCCAGUGUGGGAUGAAAGAGUAACGCUCCUGGUGGAAAGCCUGAGGGACCCUCUGUACGUCAAGGUUUUUGACUAUGACUUUGGACUUCAGGAUGACUUUAUGGGUUCAGCGUACCUAUACUUGGAGUCACUGGAGCAUCAGAGGACGCUGGAAGUUACACUGGACCUAAAUGACCCACACUAUCCAGAACAUAAUCUAGGCAGCCUGGAACUAUCUGUCACUUUAUCACCACGAGAUGGAGACAUGAGAGACGCCACCAUGCUUUUGAGAAGGAGCUGGAAACGAUCUAGUAAGUGUCAAAGUAUGCGCCUGUCAGAUGUACACAGAAAAUCUCAGCUGUGGCGGGGAAUCGUCAGCAUCAGCUUAAUAGAAGGUCGCAGUCUGCAGCCCAUGGAUGCCAAUGGCCGAAGUGACCCUUAUGUCAAAUUUAGGAUGGGGCACCAAAAAUACAAAAGCAAGAUGAUUCCCAAAACACUGAAUCCUCAAUGGCGAGAACAGUUUGACUUCCACAUGUAUGAGGAGCAGGGAGGCUAUGUGGACAUUACAGUAUGGGAUAAAGAUGCUGGCAAGAAAGAUGACUUCAUGGGAAGGUGUACAAUCGACCUGUCCCUCCUCAGUAAAGAGCACACACACAAACUGGAGCUGCCGCUGGAGGAAGGUGAAGGAGUCCUGGUGAUGCUAGUUACACUCACCGCUUCUGCCGCCGUCUCCAUCUCAGACCUGUCAGUCAAUGUGUUGGAUGACCCGCAUGAGAGACACCAGAUCAAGCAGAGAUAUAGCCUGUGGAGGUCAUUGCACAAUCUGAAAGACGUUGGUGUGGUGCAGGUAAAAGUCAUCCGGGCCGAGGGACUGAUGGCAGCAGAUGUCACAGGUAAGAGCGACCCAUUCUGUGUGGUGGAGCUGAGCAAUGAUCGGCUGCAGACACACACUGUUUACAAAAAUCUCAACCCUGAGUGGAAUAAAGUCUUCACUUUUAACGUAAAGGACAUUCAUUCAGUGCUCGAGGUCACGGUUUACGAUGAGGACCGAGACAGAAGUGCGGACUUUCUUGGGAAAGUAGCCAUUCCUUUACUGAAUAUCCAAAAUGGAGAACGCAAAGCCUACGCCUUGAAAAGCAAGGAGCUGACAGGGCCAACAAAAGGGGUCAUCUUUCUUGAAAUAGAUGUGAUUUUUAAUACUGUGAAGGCUGGUCUCAGGACGCUGAUUCCCAUUGAGCAGAAGUACAUAGAGGAGGAGCCCAAAGUGUCCAAACAGCUGCUGUUGCGCAAUUUUAACAGAGUGAGGCGCUGCAUCAUGUUCCUGAUCAACACCGGUUACUACAUCAACAGCUGCUUUGAAUGGGACUCUCCACAGAGGAGCAUCUGUGCAUUUGUGCUCUUUGUGGUCGUCGUCUGGAACUUUGAACUCUAUAUGAUACCACUGGCUUUGUUGCUACCCCUGGCCUGGAACUACAUCCUCAUCACAUCGGGCAAGGAUACGAGGCAAGAUGUGCAAGCAAUGGAGGACCUGCUAGAAGAUGAGGAUGAAGAUUUUGACAAAGAUGACAAGGACCCUAAACCAGAGCCUGGGGAGGACAUCCGUGAUAAAAACCAUAUCCUUGAGGAUAUGUUGGCUUCCUGGCACUUUGAGUGGAUACGAGCAAUGGUGGUAAGUGGGCAUGCGUGUGGUUCCGCUACUUACUCCCGAUGGUGUGUGUCGUCCCUGUAUUCUUGGGUUGACGUCACCUCCUUUAAGCCUGUCCCCUUGUCUUGUUGGGAUCUACAUACCUUGUCCCCUAUCCGCUUCUCAGUUGAGAACCUGCUAACUUGCACGUUCUGCACUUACCCCAGUCCCACCUUAGGGCUUCACUCUUGCCUGCUCUUUAGGUUGAUGGGGGGCACUAAUGGGGGCUCCAGCAUGGUAGUCUGCUCCUCUUUGUUAGAUUACUUCUCUGUAGCACUGCAAGGUGACAACUGUAGACUGAAGUGUGACAGUGCGUUUACUAUGUUCUGCCUGUGAGACUCAGACUGUCGGUUCUGAGGUGUUAAAGGGUGACUUUGGGAGUGAGUUGAGCUAACAGUUGUAAUUUGUAGCAGGGUAACUAACACACCAAACGCUUCUUCUGUGUACUUUUUGGACUUUUUGGAGUAAUUUUGCCGGUGACUAAUAUGCCAAUAUUGUCCAACUUGCGCUAGGUGUGCUUCAUGUAAGGCUGUGGUAUCACUUGUUGCAAGAUGGAUGUACUGGCUUCCUAUGGCAGAAUCAGAGUGUACAGCAUUAGAAGCGGCUCACAGUGGGGCAUCCAUGUCGAAUACGUACGUCUAUAAAGGUGGGGAGAACCACAGUGUUGGCCGAGAGAAGCCGUCCACCGUGACCGGGCAAGGGGCAUUCAUUUUGGAUACACUAUGUUGUCGUGCGUCCAACAAGGUGGGGGGAAUCACAGUGUACGCCAUACGGACAUUCCUAGCUUUUACCGAUGCGUUCAUUUGUCAUGGUUUUCACAGUUUUGCAAAUCAACCACACCAACUAAAACUUGUCUGUGUCAUCUCUGAUCCAGUACAAUUUACAUUCACAUGCCAAGUUUUCUACCAGAAUUGUAAAAAUGCACAUUGCCUCCACUGCGAUGCACUAAAAAAUUGGCAUAGGUAACAUUUCAAACACCCAUAAACUAAACUUUCUCACACUACCCUUAAUGUUAGGCGUUUGCGUGAUUGGAUGCCUGUAAAUGAUUUUUUUUUUUAAGUUUUAAAACUAGAGAAACAGCAAAAAUAUUCCACAUGGCAAAGCAAAUCCCUUGCUCAUUAUGUCUAAUGCAGAUAUGUGUACUUCCCGGCUGUUAUUGUUCUGAAUCGCAUACAAGUGGCGGCUGAACCAACUGAACUUUUUGACUGAUGAACUAUGCAUCAAAGCGCUAUAGAAUUGGAACUCGCUGCAUUGUAGGUGGGGAGUUCCUGUGUGCUCUUAUGCACCCAAAGUAACUUUCUGGAGAGUACCAUCACCGAAUAGGAUGCUGAGGAUGGCACGCGCUCAUUCUCCCCUCUUUCACUCUCAUUGGACAGAAUGUGGAGCACAUCACUUGACAGCAGUGUCGUCUGAAUUUGAAAGUCAGACGUGUUAGCAGGCAGCCGCCACCUUUUCUUUUAACAAGAGUCAUAAAUCUGUAAUGAGCACACAAGAUGCAUAUUUUAUUUAUUUACUUAUUUUGAAGGUGUGAUCCCUUCACUUCAUUCCAAUGCACUCUUAAGAGACACUGUUUAUAUCCCCAACCAAAACCAAAUUUUCAAGUUAACAUAUCAUGAGAGGCACAUGGAAAUUAACCAUAUUGGAACAUGCCUUGACAAAAAACGAUUCUAAAAUUUAUUUGAGAAUUUUCAAUAUUUAGCACUACAUUUGAGUUACAAACCUUAACCUACAUUUUAUUGUUUUAUUUUUUUUAUUUACCAAUUUUAAGUUUUGCUUAAUAUAUUUGUUUCCUAUAUUUGUUUCAGGCGACAAAAAUAUUUCAUAUGGUGGUGAGUGGUUCGCAUGUUGGCCACACAGUCAGGAAGACCUGGGUUCAAUUCUCCGCUUGGCAUCUGUGUGGAGUUUGCAUGUUGUCCCUGUGUGCGGGGUACUCCGGUUUCCUCCCACAGUCCAAAAACAUGCUAGGUUAAUUGGCGACUCCAAAUUGUCCAUAGGUAUGAAUGUGAGUGUGAAUGGUUGUUUCUUUUGUUGUCUAUAUGUGCCCUGUGAUUGGCUGGCGACCAGUCCGGGGUGUACACCGCCUCUCGCCUGAAAUCAGCUGGGAUAGGCGCCAGCAUACCCCGCGAUCCUAAUGAGGAUAAGCGGUAUAGAAAAUGGAUGGAUGGAUUAAGCCCUAGCAGAGCCCCUAAGAUGGAUUCGCAGAUAUGGACGGACAAGGAAAGAUGGUGUGGAACAACAAAACCAGGCCAUCAGAGGACAAGAGUAAUGUGCUCCCAUUCAUCACUCUUAGUCAGGCUGCGUUCAGAGGAAGGACAGGGAAAGGAGAGUGCAGUAGCUGCAGGGGAGCAGAGGUGAGGUGAGGUGGGGGAGAAUCGGGCAAAGUGGGUGCAUGUCAUGGGUUCAAGUCCACAGGAGGUGAGAACGAGGAACAUGCACAGAGGUCGUUGGGUGUUUGUCAUUGUGUUGUGUUGGUGCGCUGACCUUGAAGGUGAUGGAGUAGUUGAAGUGGUGGAGGUGAGAAGGUGGCCCAGAGGGCAGUAAACAUCAUCAUUGGCCACACUCUUUUGCACGCUUUACACCAAACAUUAAACAUGCAUGUGUGUAAAACAAAGGAGAUGUAAACAGAGUUAUCUUCACCAAAAUCUGUCCAUGUCCGUUUGCAGUAUAGGAUUAAUGACUGGGAAAAAAACAGUACAUCUGCUUCAUUCAUGCAAGGUUGGUCAGGCGCCAGCUUGCAUGGUGGCAUAUCUUGAGGCCGGUUGCAUGGCUUUUGUCUCGAUAUGGAAUUUCCUAACAGAGGAAUUUUAGGUUAGUAGGCCAUUUGGGAUGAUCAGUAUUCAGACGCACCAGUAUUCUUGUUUAUGUGACACCUGUUGAAAAAGUGGAGCAAUGUAAAUUACUUGUAUUAUUGUCAUCUAUUAUCAUAGAUUACACAUUCUUUCUGCAUGUUUUGACUCACUGCUAAACACCAUUAGGUUGUGUUUUGGACUAAUUAUACAGUCUGAUGUGUUAUAUCAUUUUACUGUCAGGUAUAUUACGGUGUAAGGCAUGGGGUUUCCACCUUGUAGAUAUAGGGCAGAUAUUCAGGUCUGUCGUAUGACUUUGUCCUCUGUGUUCUCAGGCUCUAGGCUUUAGGUCAGUGAAUGACAAAGAGUGUCUUUGCAAAGUUAACUGCCCACUUUACUCUUAUGCAUGGUGAUGAUAUCGUUUUAGGAAGAAAGGCCUCGCACAAUGCAUAUUUUCUUUGGUAAAUAUUUCAUCAAGCAUUUCAGUGAGUUUACCACAAGUCACCACUGGUGCAACGUGGUUAGCUUGACUUAGCUGUUUCUACCUAUCGUAUGCCUUCCUGCAUCCACUUCACUUUAACAAGCACUGCUGCCUUCUCUGUCCUCCUUGAUGAGAGGACUCUCGCAGUAAACCUGCUCCACACACUUUUACACAGAGUGGCUCGGCAGUAAAAUAAUGGCUUAGAAUUCAUUUCACACUUUCAAACAAUGAUGCAAACCUUGGACACAAAUGCAACUCUCUCCCAACGAUGGCUCGAGAUAUAUUUUCAUUUCCUUACCUGAUGAGAGUUAAUUGAUGUCAAGGAGUUUCUGAUGCACACAGGAAGUCACGGUGGAGUGUUUUUCUGCCUUUCUCAUGUAGCCACAUUCUCAGAGCAGUUGCGUACCAAAGGUACGAUAAUAAUCAAUAAUAACAAAUACAGCUGGAAUAGGUGCAGAUUCUGGAAGAUCUAGAAAGCUUUCUGUGCAGGUUAUUGUGUGGAGCUGCUCUAGAGGAGUCCACAAAUGAAUACAAAGGGCCUGAAAAUGAGACGAAUAGGUCCCCUUUAAGGACUGUGGUGUCAUUCUGAAUUUCCCAGAUGAAUCUAUUCUGGUAGACUGAAGUAAAACAAUCCUUAGAAUUUACUAGUUACACCAGUACAUUACUGUACUGUAAUAUACUGUUUGUGCCAGCACGUAAGACAUGAACAAAAAGAAUGUCAUACAUUACAUACUGUAGACUUCGGCCCAUUUUACUUACACUACACAAAGUAACUUGAAUGGAUGUUAUUUUAUUUGACUGUAGUCACAAAUCUGUUGCUCCCAGACCUAACUGGCAGUUACUAUAACGUAUUGCCACAACACAUUGAACACACGUGCAGCUGAAGACUAUUAAAAUGCACGAUGGUACUGCUCAUUAGGCAGGCUUAUUACUCUAUCUGUCAGAAUGUGAUAUUGUUCACAAGUGCUUUGUUGCAAGCAGAGUUUAUUUCAUUGUGUUCCACCGAUGGAUACUUUAGAGACAAAGUCAUCUGUCUGUCACUACAGAGAUUUUUUGGUGCGCAGAACACAGGUCACAGUUUUAUUUGAAUCCAAUUCAAAUAUUAAAAUCCACACAGCUUUAUUCAAUUUAUAUGAGUUUAUUACAUUUUUCUUCAAUUUUAUUCAUUCAAAGACUUAUUUUGAGUUUGCUUUGAACACAUGUGGAAAUAGUGUUAUGGAGUUAGAAUAACUGCCUUUCCUCAGCCAACAACGAUUAUGGUUGACAAACAAACAAUUGAAAAAUGUUGUUUAUCAGAACCAUUCUUACCAGCUAUGAUGUCCUAUGAUGAACCUAUUAUGCUUUUUUCUCUUGUCUGACCUAUAAAUGUAGUCAGAAUGUUGUAUUCUCGUGUUUAACGAUGCUAAUGUUUCAGAUAACGAGGUUUGCGCAUUGACAUUAAGGAUGACUCAAAACGCUUGGUUUUAAAAGGCGUGGUAAAACUGUACUUUUGUGAUGUCACAGAGUGACAGACUUCCUUACAUGGGGGUAGCUGUAAGCCAUAUAAAGUCUCUGCCCUCCCCCAAGCUCCAUGUUUCAAGCUCAGAAGAUGGAUGGGAACUACACAAAAAGUAAUCACUUCUGUUUGAGAGCUUCAGACUUGGGCCUGGACUAUAUUUAUCCUUUUGGAUUUUACAGUCCACACACAACCAGUCAACGAGGAGGUCCUCACUGUCUCUGUGUUUUGGAAUACGUAAUCAUGUUUACAGAGUUACCCAGCAAGACCAGGUGUGCAUAUCAACCUUAUCUAAUAGCUGCGGGGUGUGUGAGUGAGUGUGUGUAUCGGGUUCCAUGAUAGGAACAGGUUGCCUGGCUCCAUAUGUGCGCAGUGAGUGGGGAAGCUGGGAAAACAAGGUUCUCCCUGGCUCUCUGUUAUUACUACCUCCUGCCUCCCCAAGUCCUGUUUGAAGACAGGAAAUAGGAGUCAGACCGCAGUCCAAGGGGCAUGUGGCAGUGGUUUAUUCUUCAGCGACCUCUGACUUAUCCGAUCCACCCCCGCCCGCUCUCUCACACCUCUCCCCAGGCCCCCACACACACUCCCUUGUGACCCUCGAAGGUAAAGAAGGCCUGAUCCAGCUCAUGCCUGGCUCGGAUGGGCCUAGCACAGGCAAUCACAAUAGACUGGACGCUCUGAGAUUUGUUUGAGUGAGCAAUGAAAAGCAGAUGGAAUCAGAGGAACUGAUUCACCAGAUGACGAUAAAGGCAGGAAGAAAUAAAGAGAGACUCGUAAAGUAUUUGCAAAGAAAAAUAACCCCUUGGCUUGGUGACUAAUGAUAUCUAUUUGUCUUGGGUGGUUUUGCUAUAGAGGCUAAGUGGACUCGCCAACUGUCUCAUGGUUCAUUUUUCACAUUAUCAGAUCCAAGAUGGAGAGAAGAAGGACAUGAGCGUUUCUGGGGGUUAGGGCCUUGAUUUGAGUCUGGAUGGGACGGUUGUAGUGCACCCUCUGAGGUUCAGGGGUUUCAUGAGUUUUACUACUUUACUGGCUUUUUAUUCUCCAACUGAACAAUAGUCAUGCAUCUUUCUUCCAUAGUUUCUGUUCCAUCGUUCUCCUAUUGCCUUGUCUGUCGAGACUCUUGUUAGUCUGCAGCCUCAAUGACUGUUGCAUGACUUGUUAAACUCUUUUGUUUCAGGAAGAUUCUGAAGUUCUUUGGCCGUCCACAGUAGACAAGCCCAAUGCAGGAUGGCGUCAAUGAUAAUGAUGUCACAGCUGGUGACAUCAUCACAGCAUGCCAGGCAGUUGCACAAUUGGGCUCAGCCUGAUUUUUGGCAGCACCGAGAGAGGGAUGGGGUGGGGAGGGGGGUUGAUGUUUCCAUUGGGCUUUCUGUUUAAUUCUGCCGUUCCAUUAACAUAUUCAAAUUGUCUGUGUGAGCUUUUGUACAGAGGAAAACAUUUUGAUUUGUUCUGCUGACUUUAGAUCUCUAUUACCGCCUGGAAUGAGCACAGUCAUUUGGAGCAGGAUAUCCGGCGAUUUGGCUCCUCGGUUCAAGCUUUUGCCGCUAUUUAACAUGUAUUGUUUCCACUAAGAUGCUUUUGCCUAGCCUCUCUCCUUUCCAUCUCUCUUUGCUCGACUCUCCCUUACAUCUCUUCCUGUUGCACCCUGCCUUUUUAUUCCUCCCUUGCCACAACCCUAUCUGUGCCUUUGCAGGACUCUGAGAGAAAGGGCUUCAUGAACAAGCUUUAUGCCAUUCAGGACGUGUGUAUCAGUGUGCAGAAUGCGCUGGAUGAAGUGGCCUCCUAUGGCGAGAGGAUAAAGAACACUUUUAACUGGACUGUGCCUUUCUUAAGCUGGCUUGCCAUUGU